rnacentral:rRNA from 1 species
UACGUAGGGUGCAAGCGUUGUCCGGAAUUAUUGGGCGUAAAGAGCGUGUAGGCGGCCCGAUUAGUCCGCUGUGAAAGUCCAGGGCUCAACCCUGGAAUGCCGGUGGAUACUGUCGGGCUAGAGUCCGGAAGGGGCGAGUGGAAUUCCUGGUGUAGCGGUGAAAUGCGCAGAUAUCAGGAGGAACACCAAUGGCGAAGGCAGCUCGCUGGGACGUGACUGACGCUGAGACGCGAAAGCGUGGGAGGCGAACAGG